UUGGUCACUUCAGUGUGUCUGUGUGUUCUCUCGGCGGUCACCUCUUGCAGUCAGCCAUGUGGGACCACCAGCGGCCUUCACGCAGGAUGGCCACCUGCCAUCUCCUCCUCCUCCUCCUCCUCUUCACAUGCCAAAGAGUUAAAGGAGAGUUCAGCAUCGAUAACAUCAGCCUGACGUUUAGCCCUGGUGCUGCCGUGGAGAGGGACACCAACGUGACGGCCACGUGCCACGCCAGCGUUAGCAGAAGCCAAGGCUUCACCCCACUCUACAAGUUCAGCAUCGAGAAGGACAACCAAGAACUUGUGCCCAGGACCGACAGCGAGUCCGACACCUUCCACUACCCCAUCGGGGCAGCCAGAGUGUCGGACUCGGGGAGUUACAAGUGCCACCUGUUCAUCCCAGAUAAGAGCAGGUCCAGCGGAAAGGAGACACUUACCGUCACAGGAACUCAGACUCCACAGAUUUCUGUGGAUAGUAACAACGUCCUGGAGGGCGAUGAGGUGACCGCCACGUGUAGAGCCCCAGGUGAGCGGGGCGAGCUUCUCUAUUACUUCUUCGUGGGCGACCAAGAGGUGGUGGUUCGUCAGGCCGACUCAGAGGAAUUAAGCGUGAAGCUGCAGCUCUCGAACAGUGGGCGCAACAACUUGACCUGCCAAUACUCCAUUCGUCUGUUGACAUCACACGUGAAAUCAUCUGUCAGUAAGCCACAGUACGUCACUGUCAGAGAGUUAGCCUUAUCUGUUAGACUGACCAUCUCCCCAUCCAUGGAAAUCAUCGAAGCGGACAAUUUCAGCGCCUCCUGUGUGGUCAACUCCCCCCGUCGGACGGAGACGGUCAGUUUAAUCAUGGGCAAAAAUAUUCUGUCCCUGGGGAGUGGCAGAGUCGACUACAGCGCAGUAGCAAAAGCAAAUGACUCUGGAGAGUACAUGUGCAAAGUGGAGGUGAAUGCUGUGGCCAAGACAGACAAGAAGAUGCUGACGGUGAAAGAGCUCUUCUCAAAACCCACGCUGACUUUUAAUCCAGAGCAAGCAUUUGAAGGUGAAUAUGUCCGUCUUACCUGCGAAAGCACCAACUUGGAAAGAAUCAGGCAAGAGGAAAUAAAGUACUCCAUUUAUAAAAACAACCGUCUCCAACCAAUGGGAAACAUCAUGGGCCAAAUGGUUAUCCAAGCAGGCCAUUCAGGCAAUGGACAUUACCACUGCUUGGCAGAAGCAAAGUCCAUCUCAAAGAAAAGCGAAGUGAUCGUCCUCAGAUCUAAAGUGCUCGCUACCAAGCCUGACAUUUUUGUCACGCAAAAAGUCAUUCUGGGACAGAAAUUUGAAAUCUAUUGCAAGUCCAAUGGCACCCUUCCCAUUACUUACACACUAUUCCAAGGUAAUAAGAGGUUGCAGAACAUCACCGUCUUCAAUCCAUGGGACGAGGCUCGCUUCAACGCCUCCAUCAAACAGAAAGAACACAUCAGCACUUUCCGGUGCCGUGCUCAGAAUGACGGUUCCAAGAACUAUAGCGACAGCCUACCUCUGACCGCCUUAGUUGUAGAGCAUUUGGGUAAAGCCCUGCUGACCACCCUGCCCGUCCCCCACAACGUUGAAGAGGGCUCCGAGCUCACCCUCAUCUGUAACGUGGCCAGCGGGACCCCGCCCAUCACCUUCAAGUGGUUCUCCUCCGAGAGCAAUAAACAUCUCGACACCAAAACGGUCAACUCCAACUCAAGCUACUUUGUCAUCCCCUGGAUGGAGAGAAUGAACAGCGGCGAAUACUACUGCCGUGCCAUGAAUGCAGCCAAUGUAGUCGACAGUGACCGGGUCGUCAUCCAAGUGAAGUUGGCUUCGUGGAAGAAAGCGCUGAUCGUUGCCAUCUGCCUGCUGGUUGUCGCCGCCCUGGUGGUCGUCUUCAUAGUGCGCUACAAAGCCAAGCGAGGUAGAAAGACCUACAGUCCUCCAGCCUCACAACAAGUCUCCUCACCAGCCAGCCCGUGAAAACAAAAAGCAAAAGCAAAACAAAACAAAAACAAAGCCAAACCCCCCCUCUCAUCUUUUCUUUUCACUGCAGACGCAGUAUCACACUUGGACGCGAUGGAGGGGAACUCAGCCAAUGGGACAUGAAAUAGUGUGGUGGCAGUGCGCCCCUGGCAUCGGGUGGCCCCCCGGACCAACGUCAGUCUCGCCAGCGGGGCAGUGUAGAGCGUAGAGGCCAGCGGGGAUUACUGUCCCGUCGCCCUUGACAGAUAUUUGGAAGAGCACAAAGGUCAAAUGGCUCCCUGCGCGCUCUGGUCAAGUUCCUCGAAAAAGCCUGGAUGUUCAAAGAAGCGGAAGAUGAUCUGCCCAAAGGAGCGUAAAUGUCAAGAUGAAAAAGCGAAAAAGUUUUCCUCCCCCCCGACGGAUUUUUUCCCCCCCCUCUCUCCUCGCCUCACGCUCACUUGUGUUUUAUAUCACCGAGUAUUUAUCACAGAAGUCACAGACGCACAGAUUGUUAUUUAUUAAAGCGCACACCUACAUGGAUACCUUGUGGAAGUUUCAGGUCUGUACGUGCCAGACACUAGUAUAUGAACUUUGACCCCCCGGGAGGCCCGGUGUGGCGUAACAGUCCCGUCCUCUCGGCCAGUCUGCCCCGAGUGUUCCGAACAUCAUCACUGUCAUGUCAUUUCAUACUCCAUGUGUUCUCAAGUGUGUGUCUGUUCACAUUGCAUGUGUUCAUUUUAUGUUCUACACAGUGACAUUCACUUAACCGAUUGCUUCACCAUUUGUCUGAUUAUUUGAUUCAUUUGUAUUUGUUUUGAGAUUGUUAAGAGGAUUAUUUUUGCACUGCUCACUGUAGAUAAAUUGACAAGAAAGGGUAUGUAUAUAUUUUGCUUGGUUGGCUUGAAUCACUUUUAGAAUUAAAAGGUUGGUGUUUAUUUUGGAAA